UGGGGAAUUUUGCGCAAUGGGCGAAAGCCUGACGCAGCAACGCCGCGUGAGUGAUGAAGGUCUUCGGAUCGUAAAGCUCUUUCGGCUGGGACGAAAACGGUCUGGCGAAUAACCAGGCCCUUGACGGUACCGGAAGAAGAAGCACCGGCUAACUCUGUGCCAGCAGCCGCGGUAAUACAGAGGGUGCAAGCGUUGUUCGGAAUUAUUGGGCGUAAAGCGCGUGUAGGCUGCGACGUAUGUCGGGGGUGAAAGCCCUCGGCACAACUGAGGAAGUGCGCACGAAACUACGUUGCUCGAGUGCUGGAGGAGGUAGCGGAAUUCCCGGUGUAGAGGUGAAAUUAGUAGAUAUAGGAAGGAACACCAGUGGCGAAGGCGACUACCUGGACUGAUACUGACACUGAGGUGCGAAAGCGUGGGGAGCAAACA
rnacentral:rRNA from 1 species